UUUGAAGAGAGAGUUCAACAGUACGUGAAACUGCUUAGAGGUAAACGGAUGGGCCCUCGAAAUCCUGUGGCGGGAGGAUUCAGUCGAACAGAAUCCAUCGAUGAGAGGUUAAAUUUCGAAAGAGUCUUCGGGUUCGAUCGAUGUUAUUACUUUUCAUUCGGAGGAAUCUUGACGACGCAUUUGCUUCCCGUCCGAAGGACGUCGCAACCGAUUGGGAAACGGCCUUAAAGGUAGCCGAUGGCAGGUGACUGACGAGUUACUUUCGGGUUUCUCGUUAGCGUUAUAGCCGGUUUUGUUGCCGCAUGGCUCGUGGCCCGAUCGAGGUAUCGCAAUGAGGAAUGUAAUACUUCCUUACUUUUCGCCUCCUCUGUAAAAUGAUUACGGACGUAAAAGGUGACAGAGGUUCGUUAAUCCGGCAGGCACACGGAACUGACACCGUGGCCCGUUGGACAUCUGUCCUCGUUGGUUACCGACGAAAUCCGUUUGGAGUUGUUGGCGGUUAGCGACGAGUAGAUCGGUCACCCAUCCGACCC
rnacentral:rRNA from 1 species